rnacentral:rRNA from 1 species
AGAGAGUUCAAGAGGGCGUGAAACCGCUGAGAAGGAAACGGAUAGAGUUGACGAAACUCGGCGGCAUUCAGUCGAUACGGUGCCGGAUGCCCGUGCCUUUGUUUUCACUUCUUUACGGGGGUGCGAAGGCAUUGGUUGCGUCGGAACUGCGAUCGGUGUAUUUGCCGUCGGUAUGCGCUGAGAAAUUCGUUGUGGUGCGCUGACACCAGCCUAAAGAGGACCAUACUCGUCUGAGCGUGGAAACCUUUAGUGGUUGAGGCGUAUCCGCGGUGAAUCUGCUUUGCAGUGCGUUGCCCCGCUAGGGCGCGACGGUUGCUACGUGGUUGAUGUGGCUAUUGAGCGGUCGCAUGCGACUUGCUUAUAGUCGACGUUGGCUCGUUGGCGGCGCGGUUGCGUUGGGCGUACGCGUCUCGGUGUGAAAGUCGACCACCUAUCCGACCCGUCUUGAAACACGGACCAAGGAGUCUAGCAUAUGCGCGAGUCAUUGGGUGGUAAACCUAAAGGCGUAAUGAAAGUAAAGAUCGCUUCAAUGCGGUUGAUAUGGGAUCCGUGUGGUUUCGGCCGCGCGGCGCACCAUAGCCCCGUCCCCGUUGCUUGCAAUAGGGCGGAGGUAGAGCGCAUACGCUGGUACCCGAAAGAUGGUGAACUAUGCCUGAGCAGGAUGAAGCCAGAGGAAACUCUGGUGGAGGUCCGAAGCGGUUCUGACGUGCAAAUCGAUCGUCUGACUUGGGUAUAGGG